AAUACGACUCUCGGCAACGGAUAUCUAGGCUCUCGCAUCGAUGAAGAACGUAGCAAAAUGCGAUACUUGGUGUGAAUUGCAGAAUCCCGUGAAUCAUCGAGUUUUUGAACGCAAGUUGCGCCCGAAGCCAUUCGGCCGAGGGCACGCCUGCCUGGGCGUCACGC
rnacentral:rRNA from 1 species